rnacentral:rRNA from 1 species
CUAUCCGUCGCGGGCGCAGGAAAUUUGAGAGGAGCUGUCCUUAGUACGAGAGGACCGGGAUGGACGCACCGCUGGUGUACCAGUUGUUCUGCCAAGGGCAUCGCUGGGUAGCUAUGUGCGGACGGGAUAAGUGCUGAAAGCAUCUAAGCAUGAAGCCCCCCUCAAGAUGAGAUUUCCCAUUCCUAUAAGGAAGUAAGAUCCCUGAAAGAUGAUCAGGUUGAUAGGUCUGAGGUGGAAGUGUGGCGACACAUGGAGCUGACAGAUACUAAUCGAUCGA